rnacentral:tRNA from 1 species
GGUGGCGUGUGUCGAAUGGCUAGGCAGCGGCCUGCAAAGCCGUAUUAUGCGGGUUCGAGUCCCGUCGCCACCU